ensembl:miRNA
AUUAGGAUGGUGCAAAAGUAAUUGUGGUUUUUGUCUUUACUUUUAAUGGCAAAGACUGCAAUUACUUUUGCGCCAACCCAAU